rnacentral:rRNA from 1 species
AGUGAACGCUGGCGGCGUGCCUAAUACAUGCAAGUCGAACGGAGUGGCGCACGGGUGAGUAAUAUAUAGCUAAUCUGCCCCUUGCUGGAGGACAACAGUUAGAAAUGACUGCUAAUACUCCAUAGAAAGGGAUGAGACUAUAUCGUAUCAGCUCGUCGGUGGGGUAACGGCCUACCGAGGCUAUGACGCGUAACUGGUCUGAGAUGAUGAUCAGUAAAAUGGGAACUGAGACACGGUCGAAACUCCUACGGGAGGCAGCAGUAGGGAAUAUUGCGCAAGGGGGGAAACCCUGACGCGGCAACGCCGCGUGGAGGAUGACACUUUUCGGGGCGGAAACUCAUUUUGUUAGGGAAGCGGUACCUAACGAAUAAGCACCGGCUAACUCCGUGCCAGCCGCCGCGGUAAUAC